AGCCAAACAGGUGAUGACGCUGCUGGUGGUGUCGGUCUGUGAUUGGAUACCUGGGCGUGUAUACUCGCCCACCACCUGUUAACGCUGCGAAGGUCUGCCUACAACGGGGAUGGUGACAAGUAUUUAAAAGACGACAGGAUAGAAAUCUCUCUUUCAUUAACAACACUGUGCACGUGGGUCUAUUACACUAUCGGGGAUCUCAAUUCAGGAACUUUCUUCUGGCCUCUACUAAGUUACAGCUUCCUCCAUACACAAGCCACAAUGCACGGACAGAUAGUGCUCCCUGUGAUGUUAUGCCUGAUAUCGAUGCUCAGUUCCUUCACUGACGCAACGGAUGCCUCCGGUGAAGUUCCGAUAUCAAGUGGGAACCUCCUUCGCGAAAUCUUGGAAAGUCGGGACUUUACAGAUGUUGAAAAAGAAAUACUGAAAUAUAUUAUUUUUUCUGAUGUCAAAGAUUUUGUUGAAAGAAAAGAAGCUUCUGCCGAAAGCCGAGAGGAUUCAGACAGUGGUAUUGAACGGAAACGCAGUCAUCUUUGGGCCUACCGUCAAAACAACAUUCCCAUUCAGACGAGAGUGGCAUUUGGUCGGCAGUUGAUGAGAAACUCGAACGGACAUGGUUCCAAUUCAAACCUACUCAGAUACGGAAAAUAAAAUGUUAUCUCAAAUCAAAAAAAGUAAGAACGUUCAGCAAAAAGUGUUUUACAGGGACAAAUUAACCGACUUUGUAAGAUUACAGUUACUCAAGUAUGAUUCGGGUUUCGUUGAAAACAUUGCGAACAUUUUGUAUUGUAGCAAUCAAAUAUCAAUGUGUAUUUCACUUUGUUUGGUAAAAUUUUAAUUGCAGUGUAAAUCUUCGGACCGUCUCUGCUUCGGAAAUCAUCGACAAUAAUGAGUAGGCUUGUACAUCUAAGUGGUUUUUUACUUGUAGACAUAAAGAAUUCUUUAUUUGAUAAUUGUUCCUUCUUAACAGAGAUAGAAAGCCUUUGCGUUUGGUAUCAUCAGAAUGCAUUACUAUUAAAGUUUUAUAUUCCUAUCGGUAUGUGGUUCAUCUGUUUGUUAACACAACACAUAACGACCCCCUGUCUAACGAUCUUCGAUUAAUACACGCAUAUCUCGACGAGCGUCUCGUUCACGUUUAUUCGACAGAAUAUGUGGCAGUUUCCAGUAAGCAAUGAGUUGAAUUUCAAAUACUUUGCUAAUCACAAAUGGAAUUUAUAAUAAUCAAAACUUACAUAUAUAUGAGAAAAUCUGAAAAUUAUUAAUCGCAAAUUAUCAAACUGGACCUAUUCCCCUCAACACCAUAUCUACAUGUGCUGUGACAAGAUACAGAUAAACGUUUAGUGAUAGCAAUACGUUACAACCGUGAUUCCAUUGAAUUCCUAACAUCAUUAAAAUUCUUACAA